rnacentral:rRNA from 1 species
UACGUAGGGUGCGAGCGUUAAUCGGAAUUACUGGGCGUAAAGCGUGCGCAGGCGGUUCUCCAAGUCCGUUGUGAAAGCCCCGGGCUCAACCUGGGAAUGGCAGUGGAAACUAGGGGACUGGAAUCUGGCAGAGGGGGGUGGAAUGCCGCGGUGUAGCAGUGAAAUGCGUAGAGAUGCGGCGGAACACCGAUGGCGAAGGCAGCCCCCUGGGCUGAGAUUGACGCUCGAGGCACGAAAGCGUGGGGAGCAAACAGGAUUGAGAUACCCGU